AUCCAAACCAUCAUUUGAGGAAGCACCGAAACUAAAACUCAAAAUAAUCUUCGAACACCUCAAAUAUGAGGUCCAUCAGAAACCCUACCAUAAUCACUACAUCAGACAUAGAUCAAAUCUAAAAGAAGAAAUUUUUAACCAUUCUUAGAGAGAAUUAGAAAGCCAUAGGCUGGACCAUGGCUGACAUCAAAGAGAUCAGCCCCUC
rnacentral:lncRNA from 1 species